GGUGAACGCUGGCGGCGUGCUUAAGACAUGCAAGUCGAACGGCAGUCUUCGGACUGUAGUGGCGCACGGGUGAGUAACGCGUAACUGACCUACCCCAAAGUCGCGGAUAACGAUUCGAAAGAAUCGCUAAUACGUGAUGUGCUGUCAGAUUGUGUUCUGCCAGUAAAGAUUGAUUGCUUUGGGAUGGGGUUGCGCUCCAUCAGCUAGUUGGUGGGGUAAAGGCCCACCAAGGCGACGACGGAUAGCCGGCCUGAGAGGGUGGCCGGCCACAGGGGCACUGAGACACGGGUCCCACUCCUACGGGAGGCAGCAGUUAGGAAUCUUCCACAAUGGGCGAAAGCCUGAUGGAGCGACGCCGCGUGAGGGAUGAAGGUCUUCGGAUCGUAAACCUCUGAAUCAGGGACGAAAGACACUUCGGUGGGAUGACGGUACCUGAGUAACAGCACCGGCUAACUCCGUGCCAGCCGCCGCAGUAACAC
rnacentral:rRNA from 1 species